UAAUGUUUACCUCACUGUGUAUGAUCAGUACUGCUGCUCUAAUUGCUACUUGUCAAUUAUCACCUUGUAGUGUUAUAGUUGCCACUUAUCUUCUUGUAUUGUUGUUGUAGUUGCUAUACUUAUCAGUGUUGCCACUUAUCUUCUUGUAUUGCUAUUGUAAUUGCCACCUAUCAGUGUUGUUCUGAUUGCUACCGAUCACCUAGUAGUGAUGUUCUCUGUUAGUCCAUUUUAUUUGAUUAUGCACAAAGUGGAAAAAGAAAAUUUUGAUGUUGAACUACAUCCAUCCUGAUCCUAUCUUUGUUUUCUCUAAACCAAAAAUGCCACAUGAAGAACUAGGAUAUCAAGAAGCUUUUGGAUGUAUGCAAGCUUGGAGCUACUGUUUUAUAGGUAUGUUACCACUAUAUUUAUCCUGCAAUACCUUGUGCUUAUGCAUGAUUUUUGAUUCAUAUUUUUCACCGUGGAUUUUCCUUCUGUGUGACAAUUGAAAAAUGGCUAGUCCAAGCCAACAGCGGGCUGUUUGUGUCUAUGUUGCUUUCUUUGUAUCCUUAGAGUUUUGUUGUGCUGGAGUACAAACUAUAAACUAAAAUUCAUCAUUCUAGUAUAUGGAGCCAUAACCUUUGCUCUUGAAGCUUUUUGGUGAAUAAAAACUAUAUUGCUGUAGUAGAAUUGUUAUUUCAUUCAUGAGCAUGCAUAACAUUUGAAUAUUGUUCUACUAGCUACUUCUCCUGAUAAUCCAUUUUAUUUUUUGUUGCACAAAGUGGCAGAAGAUAAUUCCCAUGCAGACUACCUCCAUCCUAACCCUUCCUCUAUUUUCUCUAAACCAGUAAUGGCAUGUGAAGAAUAUCCAGGGAUAUCAAGAAGCUUUUGGAUGUAGGCAAGCUUGGAGCUGCUGUUUCAGUGUCAUGCUUUGAUGGUUGUCUUUUGGGGCUGUUGUUUCUGUGUAAUCAUUUAAGUUUGUUGGCUGUAACGGACUAUUUAAACUCUGAACUACGCUGUGAUGGUUGAAGUUGGACUGUUAAGGGUUAUGUUGGAGGCAACUUUAUAACUAAGGUGUGCCUGUUAUGUUGGACAGAUGCAGUUUUAUUAAUCCCUAGAGCUUAUUUGCUGAAGUUUA
rnacentral:lncRNA from 1 species